UCUCCGUUGGUGAACCAGCGGAGGGAUCAUUACAGGAUUCGCAAGAACUCCCGUAACCACUGUGAACCUUACCUUCUGUUGCCUCGGCGCAGGCCGGCCUCUUCACUGAGGCCCCCUGGAGACAGGGAGCAGCCCGCCGGCGGCCAACCAAACUCUUGUUUCUACAGUGAAUCUCUGAGUAAAAAACAUAAAUGAAUCAAAACUUUCAACAACGGAUCUCUUGGUUCUGGCAUCGAUGAAGAACGCAGC
rnacentral:misc_RNA from 1 species